rnacentral:rRNA from 1 species
GAAUGCUGACAUAAGUAACGAUAAAGCGGGUGAAAAGCCCGCUCGCCGGAAGACCAAGGGUUCCUGUCCAACGUUAAUCGGGGCAGGGUGAGUCGACCCCUAAGGCGAGGCCGAAAGGCGUAGUCGAUGGGAAACGGGUUAAUAUUCCCGUACUUGGUGUUACUGCGAAGGGGGGACGGAGAAGGCUAUGUUGGCCGGGCGACGGUUGUCCCGGUUUAAGCGUGUAGGUGUGUGUUCCAGGUAAAUCCGGUUCACUUUAACACUGAGGCGUGACGACGAGGCACUACGGUGCUGAAGCAACAAAUGCCCUGCUUCCAGGAAAAGCCUCUAAGCAUCAGGUAACACGAAAUCGUACCCCAAACCGACACAGGUGGUCAGGUAGAGAAUACCAAGGCGCUUGA